UCUCUCCGCCCAUCACUCCAAUCUCUCUCCGCGUCCUCUCGAUCGAGCUGCUGCGAUGGGUCCUGGCCUCUACUCCGACAUCGGAAAGCGCGCUCGGGAUCUGCUCUACAGGGACUACCAGACGGAUCAGAAGUUCACCGUCACGACUUACAGCGCGACUGGCGUGGCUCUUACAGCUUCUGGUACCAGGAAAAAUGAAUUGAUUCUUGGUGAGAUUCAUUCACAGCUGAAGAACAAGAAUGUGACAGUUGAUGUGAAAGCCAACUCAG
rnacentral:misc_RNA from 1 species